CCAUCACCUCAGCACCAGCAACCGGGAGCACCCCACUUCCCCGGAGAGACAGAACUCUGGACAUCACUGCAGGAGGAACCUGGAUGGAUUCAGUAAAGACAGUAGAACUUUCAGGGCAGGGGAAUUUGAAGACCAGAGGCUGAUAAAACUGCCCUUCUAAAUGUAUUCUUCACAGUCAUCCUUUCAUGAGGAGUGAUUUUAAAUCAGAGCCCUCAUGCAGAACCAUCUGACCCACAUAGUCUGUGCCACAGAGGUCAAUAAUAGCAGCCACAGGCUGUCAGUGUCUGCUGGAUCAUGAUGGAGCAGCGUCCGGUCAUGGCAGGAGGACUCCUGGAUACGUCGGGAUCCGCUUCCAGCUCGGAGGACUUCAUUAUAAACACUAGUUACUGCAGCUGACACAAACGUGGGGAAGCUUUAAAUAACGGAUUAAAAUGGAUUGAUGGUGCAUCAUUUAACAGAAAAACAAAAUAUGACCUUUUUAUUUCAUUCAUGACAAAAUCAAAGAUUGUUUUGUUUUGUUCUGGAAGGAUGUCUUGUUGGGUCACAUAUCAAAGAAUAUGUAAAUAAUCUGGUCUGUUCUUAAUAAAUCUCUUGCUCAUUUCGACCAAAUAUCAUACUCACAAAUGUGAAUUCUCUGGACGAAAACCAUGUUUCAUUGUAUUUUUUUCUGAUUUCAGUUUGUUUAUUAAUAGUAUCAGAAACUAAAGCAAUCAAAAUCUUGUCUGUGUGGGAAAGAUUCAAUAUUUUAACGUGAAAACUAAUCCGGCUUAUUUCUAUUCUUUGUUGUUGUUUUUUUUAUAUUCUUGUAUUGAAAUGUUCCCUUUAUUAUAUUACUGAGAAUGAAUCUGUAAAUUGAAAAAAGUGCAAUAAAGUUUGUUUAAAAAACAUGACAAUUUUUCAAGAAUAACUUUAUUUAUAAAAACAAAAAGUGACUGUGAAUCCAUGCGAUACAGAAAGGCACGCCAUUCUGUUAAAUUUGAAUCUAUUCUUAUUAAAAUUUUAAAAUAAAACACA